rnacentral:lncRNA from 1 species
AGGGUGUUUAAGGUGUAAUGUGAGAGUUUAAAUUUUGGUUUAGAGAUAAAUAACGUGUCCUCACGAGUUAUGCACAUAACAAGUUAGCGUAUAGAGAGUGGGAUCCUAUCAUAAAAACUGGGAACAUUGUUUUCUAUGAAAAUGAAAUUUUCUAAGACAUAGAAGCCAGAGAAGCAUAAUUCAAUCAAUAAAGAUAGAGUUUGUAAUAAUUCACCCUGUUAUCCACCAACAUUGUUGAUAAUCAUGGGGAACAAGCCUAGUUAAUAAAACUAUAACUUGUAAUUCUUCUUAGGACCAAUGCAUAACAAGAAGUUCAAGAUAAGUAGAUAACCCCUAAAGAUGAUCUACUGACAAGAUCAGAGAGAGAGAGAGAGAGAGAGAGAGAGUUGGACUGUUAUAUGAUAUCACCUCACAUACUGAUAGGCGACAACUGAAAGGUUUCCAAGAGGCUGUGUCACAUACGCACAAGGAUGAAUUGUGGAAAGCCAUUGAAAGAGGAAAUUAAAUCUACAUAUUGAAACUAGUAGUCCAAAUACCAAGGAUAAUGAACCGAACAAUAUUUUGUCUUGGAAAGGAAGUGUUAAUACAGAAAUGAUUUGGGACAGUCCUAUGAGAUUUUCUCACUUGUGACAUAUAUCCUCCAUUCAAGCUGUUCUACACUGUGACUCAACAGAAGAGAUGAAUUUGAAGAAGAUUUUAUAUAGAUUGAAUCUAAGGUACAAAAAUUUGACUCCUCUUACAUGGUGAGCAUUGCCUCUUUGUGAAGCCCCAAUAUCCUCAUUACAAUUUACAACAAUCUCACUCAUUGAUUAAUUUUUUCAUAGCCUCGUGUUUAAAUUUCAUCAUUCCAGAAAUAACAAGUCCCAAAUCAAAUCAAGAAAGGAACCAAUGUUAGGAACAAUCAAUCAAUUUUUCAAUCGUAAAGAGCAGAGUUCGAAAAAUCUUAACCACAACUGAUAAACAAAAAAUUGAAAUUUUUCCUAUAAUAAAA